CAGGAGUUAUCGAAACUUGACAUGGCGGACGGGGAAUUAAAAACUCCCUUGUCGACAACGCCAACCGAAGAUUUUAACCCACUGGCGGAAGAUCCAGACAAUUUCAUCAGUGGACAUUCUCCUCAAAGACAAGGUCAUCAUGAUGCAGAUUGUAGUGGAAGUGAAGAAGAGAGUGAUUACCAAUGUAAUUCUAUGGAAGAAAGAUCAACAGGAAACUUGUAUGGUGUCACCCCACCAACUUAUAUGCGCGGAGUAAAAAGAGACAAGAAAAAACACCAGACAAACAUUCAAAAAUCAUCCUAUAAACAAUUCACAGAACUGAAGAAGGCCUCCAAGAAGUCACAGCGAAAUGCGGUUAUAAAAGAAAGGAAUCCCCCUGCUGGUUCGGUCAAGUUGUCAAAGUGGACCCCACUGCUGAAACUGCUAUCGCAUUGUCUCACAUACAGGUAGAAGGCCUACUGCUGGUUGUUAUUCAUUCCUCUCAGCUCAGCGCCCAGAGAAAGAAUUUGAAUCCUUGACGGGCAAAACGGUGCAACUUGUGAAUGAGCAGACAUCUUGUCAUCAAGCCAUUGCCGAAUCCUUGACAGAGCUGAAGGUAAUGUCUGGUGUUCUUGUGAUAAUGGAAAUUAAAUUCCACAGGAUAAAUUUAUAAAAAUUGUACAAUAUCAGUAGAUGAGUAUCUCUACCAGUCCACCUGGAAAUAUUUUUAUCAGCAAGAGAUAGAAAAACGUGUCGCAAAUGGACUUUUUUCAUGCAAUAUUUUUUUCUUUUGCUAUAUUAAGUCACAAAAUAUCACUUCCGAAUUGUAAAAAUUUCCAUCACACUUUGUCAAACAUUUCCAAUUUAUGAAAUAAAAGUCUUUAUUUAAAA
rnacentral:misc_RNA from 1 species